rnacentral:piRNA from 1 species
UUAAAUGACAUCAGGGUGCUAAAUCUCAG